CCUUUAAAUUCGGUCACUCCAAUAACAUGGACAAUUGCCGGAGCAUUGCUGCACAGUGUGUACUGACGCAGGAAGCUGUGUGUAUUGAUGCGAUUGGUGGCCACUUAGAGAGCAUGUCUCAUAUAUGGUUUAAGCAGACAGCAGUCUGUUGAGAGGUUAUAGGGGUGAUGUUUUAAUGGAGCAGACACCAGUCUGUUGAGAGGUUAUAGGGGUGAUGUUUUAAUGGAGCAGACAGCAGUCUGUUGAGAGGUUAUAGGGGUGAUGUUUUAAUGGAGCAGACACCAGUCUGUUGAGAGGUUAUAGGGGUGAUGUUUUAAUGGAGCAGACAGCAGUCUGUUGAGAGGUUAUAGGGGUGAUGUUUUAAUGGAGCAGACAGCAGUCUGUUGAGAGGUUAUAGGGGUGAUGUUUUAAUGGAGCAGACAGCAGUCUGUUGAGAGGUUAUAGGGGUGAUGUUUUAAUGGAGCAGACAGCAGUCUGUUGAGAGGUUAUAGGGGUGAUGUUUUAAUGGAGCAGACAGCAGUCUGUUGAGAGGUUAUAGGGGUGAUGUUUUAAUGGAGCAGACAGCAGUCUGUUGAGAGGUUAUAGGGGUGAUGUUUUAAUGGAGCAGACAGCAGUCUGUUGAGAGGUUAUAGGGGUGAUGUUUUAAUGGAGCAGACAGCAGUCUGUUGAGAGGUUAUAGGGGUGAUGUUUUAAUGGAGCAGACAGCAGUCUGUUGAGAGGUUAUAGGGGUGAUGUUUUAAUGGAGCAGACAGCAGUCUGUUGAGAGGUUAUAGGGGUGAUGUUUUAAUGGAGCAGACAGCAGUCUGUUGAGAGGUUAUAGGGGUGAUGUUUUAAUGGAGCAGACAGCAGUCUGUUGAGAGGUUAUAGGGGUGAUGUUUUAAUGGAGCAGACAGCAGUCUGUUGAGAGGUUAUAGGGGUGAUGUUUUAAUGGAGCAGACAGCAGUCUGUUGAGAGGUUAUAGGGGUGAUGUUUUAAUGGAGCAGACAGCAGUCUGUUGAGAGGUUAUAGGGGUGAUGUUUUAAUGGAGCAGACAGCAGUCUG